rnacentral:ncRNA from 1 species
CGAAGCUACCGUGCGUUGGAUUUAUGACUGAACGCCUCUAAGUCAGAAUCCGGGCUAGACCGACGCAUGCGCUCGUCGCCCGUUUGCCGACCCGCAGUAGGGCAUUUGGCCCCCAAGGGCACGUGUCGUUGGCUAAGCCGUCGUGGCGGAAGGGUCACGGUGGCGCCUUGAAUUACAAUUCCGAUCGAGCGGCGAGCUGAAUCCUUUGCAGACGACUUAAAUACGCGACGGGGUAUUGUAAGGGGUAGAGUGGCCUUGCUGCCACGAUCCUCUGAGAUUCAGCCCUUUGUCGCUCCGAUUCGU